UUCGCAAUGCCCGAAAGGGUGACGAAGCGACGCCGCGUGGGUGAAGAAGGCCUUCGGGUUGUAAAACCCUGUCAGGAGUUAUGAAAUGUAAGUGCGCUAAUAUCGUGCUUAUUUGACAAAGGCUCCAAAGGAAGCCACGGCUAACUCUGUGCCAGCAGCCGCGGUAAUACAGAGGUGGCGAGCGUUGUUCGGAAUUAUUGGGCGUAAAGAGCACGUAGGUGGGUUUGCAAGUCAGAUAUGAAAGCCUUCUGUUCAACGGGAGAAUUGCAUCUGAAACUGCUAAUCUUGAGUAUAGGAGGGGAGAAUGGAACUUCUGGUGGAGCGGUGAAAUGCGUAGAUAUCAGAAGGAACGCCGGCGGCGAAAGCGAUUCUCUGGCCUAUUACUGACACUCAGUGUGCGAAAGCUAGGGGAGCAAACGGGAUUAGAUACCCCGGUAGUCCUAGCCGUAAACGAUGGGCACUAAGUAGA
rnacentral:rRNA from 1 species